rnacentral:rRNA from 1 species
UACGUAGGUGGCAAGCGUUGUCCGGAUUUAUUGGGUUUAAAGGGUGCGUAGGCGGCCCUGUAAGUCAGCGCUGAAAUAUCCCGGCUUAACCGGGAGGGUGGCAUUGAUACUAUAUAUCUUGAAUGCUGUGGAGGUAAGCGGAAUAUGUCAUGUAGCGGUGAAAUGCUUAGAUAUGACAUAGAACACCUAUUGCGAAGGCAGCUUACUACGCAGAUAUUGACGCUCAUGCACGAAAGCGUGGGGAUCAAACAGG